rnacentral:lncRNA from 1 species
CGAAAUAUUGAAGAUCAUUUUUUCGCAAUGUUUCCUGAAAAUUGAUAAAUAUCAAAGCAACGUAGAGCUGUUUGUUCUUGUUCGUAUAAUAAAAUUGAGAAUGGAAAUGGGGAAUUUGUCAAGAGGACAACAACCCGACCAUAGAAAAACAUACAACAGCAGAAUUAAGGUCACCAACAGGUCUUCAAUGCAGCGAAAAAUUCCCGCACCCGGAGGCGUCCUUCAGCUGGCCCCUAUACAAUAUAUAUACUAGUUCAGUGAUAACGAUUUAAUGUCAUGUUUGUCUGUGAUGACCCCCCUUUUCGGGAUUGCAUGAGAAUUGUAGUUAUCUCGUACCCACAUGCACUUGUUUCUAUCCAUAGGAAGGUCGACUAUCCAUAUAAAACUAUUUAUAUGGAUAGUCGACCUUCCUAUGGAUAGAAACAAGUGCCUGUGCUCGUACCGCAUCAGAAGGACACAUAUUAACUGAGCAAUAAUGUUUGGAACUUAGUUUUAAAAAUGAUGACAAAGUAACAUUAUGAAAAUAUUUUUAUUAAGCUGAAAUAUACAUUUAUUCUUUACAUGUUUAUGUCUUGUAAGAUAUUUUAUUUCUUUCCCGUUUUUUAACAUUUGCGUCUGGAAAGUUGAAAUGUUUUAACUUGAUCAUUUGUGUUAAUGGUUAAAUAUAAAUUAAUAAUGAAAACUGUUAAAAUUAAAUCAAUAAAGGAAAUUAUUGCCAAGGAAGUUACAAACACUACCAGGGGAUAAUCCAUGAUGAUUUCUUUUUGAGUUAUAUGUUUCAGCACAUGUAUAUUUGACCCCAACUUUAGCCUGGUAAACGUGUUGUCUCCUUGUGAAAUAUAAAACAUAUUAAAAAUGACUUUCUGCUAAAGUCUUUUAUUUAAAUAAAGUUAAAACCUUCUUACUUUUAACUAGACAACACUCAUGUCAGGUUUAAUUCUUGUAUAUAUGUGGAUGAAAAAUAAAAGUCCCCAAACAUUAACAUGGCAGCAAUUGCUUUUACAGCCUUUAAGGCUUUGAUUAAAAGAAGAUACCCAAUCUUUUCCAAACAUUUGAUGCUGAACUUAUUUUUAAAUGGCACAAUACCUAAAAUGAUGCAUUUAAGUGAUCAUAGAACAUAUUUCUUCAUGUAGGAAUUUUGUGCACCUGUUGUGUUCAUACAGAAUAUUGGAACAUUAACAUCAGAGUAAUUAUAUUAUAGUGUUAUUAACUGGCUGUUUCUGUAUUGGCACUGGUAUAGAUUCAAGGUUUGCUGUAUUGGCCUCGAGACCCGUAGGGUCGAGGGCCAAUACAGCUGACCGAGAAUCUAUACCAGUGCCAAUACAGAAACAGCCAG